rnacentral:rRNA from 1 species
UACCAUGCAGUCGAGCGGUAACAGAGAGUAGCUUGCUACUUUGCUGACGAGCGGCGGACGGGUGAGUAAUGCUUGGGAACAUGCCUUGAGGUGGGGGACAACAGUUGGAAACGACUGCUAAUACCGCAUAAUGUCUACGGACCAAAGGGGGCUUCGGCUCUCGCCUUUAGAUUGGCCCAAGUGGGAUUAGCUAGUUGGUGAGGUAAUGGCUCACCAAGGCGACGAUCCCUAUCUGGUUUGAGAGGAUGAUCACCCACACUGGGACUGAGACACGGCCCACACUCCUACGGGAGGCAGCAGUGGGGAAUAUUGCACAAUGGGCGCAAGCCUGAUGCACCCAUGCCGCGUGUGUGAAGAAGGCCUUCGGGUUGUAAAGCACUUUCAGUCAGGAGGAAAGGUUAGUAGUUAAUACCUGCUAUCUGUGACGUUACUGACAGAAGAAGCACCGGCUAACUCCGUGCCAGCAGCCGCGGUAAUACGGAGGGUGCGAGCGUUAAUCGGAAUUACUGGGCGUAAAGCGUACGCAGGCGGUUUGUUAAGCGAGAUGUGAAAGCCCCGGGCUCAACCUGGGAACUGCAUUUCAAACUGGCAAACUAGAGUGUGAUAGAGGGUGGUAGAAUUUCAUGUGUAGCGGUGAAAUGCGUAGAGAUCUGAAGGAAUACCGAUGGCGAAGGCAGCCACCUGGGUCAACACUGACGCUCAUGUACGAAAGCGUGGAGAGCAAACAAGAUUAGAUACCCUGGUAGUCCACGCCGUAAACGAUGUCUACUAGAAGCUCGGAACCUCGGUUCUGUUUUUCAAAGCUAACGCAUUAAGUACACCGCCUGGAGAGUACGGCCGCAGGUUAAAACUCAAAUGAAUUGACGGGCGCCCGCACAGCGGUGGAGCAUGUGGUUUAAUUCGAUGCACGCGAAGACCUUACCUACUCUUGACAUACAGAGACUUCACCAGAGAUGGUUUGGUGCCUUCGGGAACUCUGAUCAGUGCUGCAUGGCUGUCGUCAGCUCGUGUGUGAGAUGUGGAUAGUCCCGCACGAGCGCACC